rnacentral:rRNA from 1 species
GACGAACGCUGGCGGCGUGCCUAAUACAUGCAAGUAGAACGCUGAAGAGAGGAGCUUGCUCUCCUUGGAUGAUAUGCGAACGGGUGGGUAACGCGUAGAUAACCUGCCUUCUAGCGGGGGAUAACUAUUGGAAACGAUAGCUAAUAUCGCAUAACAAUGCUAGCCACAUGUUCUUUAUUUGAUAGGGGCAAUUGCUCCACUACAAGCUGGACCUGCGUUGUAUUAGCUAGUAGGUGGGGUAAUGGCUCACCUAGGCGACGAUACAUAGCCGACCUGAGUGGGUGAUGGCCCACAUUGGAAUGGGAAACGGGCCAAGACUCCUACGGGAGGCAGCGGUAGGGAACCUUCGGCAAUGGGGGAAGGCUUGACGGAGCACGCCCGCGUGGGUGAAGAGGGUUUUCGGAUCGUAAAGCCCGGUUGUCAGUAAAGAACGGGUGUGAGAGUGGAGAGUGAACGCUUGACGGGAAGCUUACAAAAAAGGGACGGUUACUUAGGU